rnacentral:rRNA from 1 species
CGUACACUCCUGCGGGAGGCAGCAGUGGGGAAUAUUGGACAAUGGGCGCAAGCCUGAUCCAGCCAUGCCGCGUGAGUGAUGAAGGCCCUAGGGUUGUAAAGCUCUUUCACCGGUGAAGAUAAUGACGGUAACCGGAGAAGAAGCCCCGGCUAACUUCGUGCCAGCAGCCGCGGUAAUACGAAGGGGGCUAGCGUUGUUCGGAUUUACUGGGCGUAAAGCGCACGUAGGCGGACUAUUAAGUCAGGGGUGAAAUCCCGGGGCUCAACCCCGGAACUGCCUUUGAUACUGGUAGUCUUGAGUUCGAGAGAGGUGAGUGGAAUUCCGAGUGUAGAGGUGAAAUUCGUAGAUAUUCGGAGGAACACCAGUGGCGAAGGCGGCUCACUGGCUCGGUACUGACGCUGAGGUGCGAAAGCGUGGGGAGCAAACAGGAUUAGAUACCCCUGUAGUCCC